GGAAAAUACGUCACCAAUUACAUGGAUAAAUUCAUUAGACUUUAUGAUAGGGUAAAGGAAUUGGAAUCAAAUAACUCAACAGUAGCGAUGGAGCAUUAACAAGAAUUGGAAUUGAAUAUUACCUCCGGUCCUAUUUAUAAAAAAAUGUUAAUUUUUUAGAUUCAUUCAAUAAUUGAUGUAGCUAGCCUAGAAAUAGACCAAAUACAUCAACUAUUGAAUGAAUCAAAAAAAUAAAUUGUUUCUUAUAUAUAGAACCGGAGGGAGUAUAUAUGAUAAAGAAACAAUGCAGCAAUGGAAUUAAAUAAAUAAAUGCAGCAAAAACAAAGUAAUUCAAAUUGAAAUACAUAGCAAAACAGAUUUGUAAAACGGCACCGAAUUCAAUUGGAAUAAAAUGGGUGAUAAAGAAAUGGCUUAAUUACACUUUUACAUUUUUGGUCCUCGAGUUUUGGCUUACUCACGAAAAUGGUCAUACUCUUUUAAAACACAACAAAAUUGUCCUUCAAUUAUCAAUUUUGUUGCAUUUUUCGUCAUACUCCCCAUUUUAUUCUCAAAAAAUGCGCAGGUGGCAAGUGAACGCCUAUGUGGCAUCUAGUUUGAAAAAUGUCAUUUACAUAUCAUUGAAACAACCAUUUUUAAUUUUAAAAAACAAUUUAAACAGUCAUAAAUUAAAACAAAAAAAAAAUUGUAAUUAAAAAAAUUUCAUCCAUUUUCAAUUCAUUUUCCCAUAGAUUCAUAAUCCCUCUUCAUCAUACCAACACCAUCAUCAUCAACAUCCAACAUACCAUUUUCAGAUCCAUAUUUUCAUAUUCAUGAUACCACUAUUUUGGCAUUUUCAGAGUGGGGAAAACACAAAUCCAUACAUCAUUGAUUGGAAUAAAAUUAAGUUGUUUCAAACCAGAAGGGAUCUGAAAACGCAGAGCAUCUUCAUCGUAGAGUGACGAACCCAGAAGUAGCUCAAAAGAAGGAAUCGCAGUCCUGAAAUAAACAAGACGAAGCUUCGAAGUAACGAUUACGACCCAGAUAUCACCGAAAAAAGGACCUUCAUCGGAGAGAGACUGAACCAGAUGAAUCCAAGGAGAAAAAUAACCCGAAAAGCUCGACACACAGUAGAGAGUGAAAACGGCAAAGUAAGUGGAAUAAACUAUCAAGAAACCAUGAAAUUUCUUCACCGUAAAAUCACCGGAGAGGUUAGGUGUUCGCCGGAAUAAAGCCAAAGAGAAGAGAUAACAGAGAACUCCAACUUCUCUCAAAAGGGUUUUGUGAAUUUAGGGAUGAUGAAUUUAUUUUUUUGAAUAAGGGAUGAUGAAUUUAAGGAAGGGAUGAAUUGUAAAUGGAUGAAGAGAAUAGAUGAAUCAAUGUUAAUAAUUCUCGAUUUUGAUUUACAACAUAGGUUUUUUUAUUUUAUUUUAAGCAUUUUAUUUUUUUUAAUUGUUUUCUAAAUUUAUUAUUUAAUUGAUUCAAAUGACAUUUUCCAAGUGGGAAUUGUCAAUGUGCGUUUUUGGAGGAUAAAAUGGGGGUAGGACAAAAAUGCAACAAAAAUGAUAAUUGAAGGACAUAUUUGUUCUGUUUUAAAAGGGCAGGACCAUUUUCGUGAGUAGGCCAAAAUACGAGGACUAAAAGUGUAAUUAAGCGUAAAGAAAACUAGG
rnacentral:lncRNA from 1 species